rnacentral:rRNA from 1 species
AACGAACGCUGGCGGCAUGCCUAACACAUGCAAGUCGAACGAGACCUUCGGGUCUAGUGGCGCACGGGUGCGUAACGCGUGGGAACCUGCCCUUAGGUUCGGAAUAACUCCCCGAAAGGGGUGCUAAUACCGGAUAAUGUCUUCGGACCAAAGAUUUAUCGCCUUUGGAUGGGCCCGCGUUGGAUUAGCUAGUUGGUAGGGUAAAAGCCUACCAAGGCGACGAUCCAUAGCUGGUCUGAGAGGAUGAUCAGCCACACUGGGACUGAGACACGGCCCAGACUCCUACGGGAGGCAGCAGUGGGGAAUAUUGGACAAUGGGCGAAAGCCUGAUCCAGCAAGGCCGCGUGAGUGAUGAAGGCCUUAGGGUUGUAAAGCUCUUUUACCCGGGAUGAUAAUGACAGUACCGGGAGAAUAAGCUCCGACUAACUCCGU